rnacentral:rRNA from 1 species
UGGGGAAUUUUGCACAAUGGGGGAAACCCUGAUGCAGCGACGCCGCGUGAUUUAGAAGGCCUUCGGGUUGUAAAAAUCUUUUGUAUGGGAAGAAAAUGACAGUACCAUACGAAUAAGGACCGGCUAAUUACGUGCCAGCAGCCGCGAUAAUACGUAAGGUCCGAGCGUUGUCCGGAAUCAUUGGGCGUAAAGGGUACGUAGGCGGAUAAGCAAGUUAGAAGUGAAAUCCUAUAGCUCAACUAUAGUAAGCUUUUAAAACUGCUCAUCUUGAGGUAUGGAAGGGAAAGUGGAAUUCCUAGUGUAGCGGUGAAAUGCGCAGAUAUUAGGAGGAAUACCGGUGGCGAAGGCGACUUUCUGGCCAUAAACUGACGCUGAGGUACGAAAGCGUGGGUAGCAAACAGG